GAUUUUAACUGAAAAAGUUAUCAACAACAAAGUUGUAUAACUCAUCAAUUUCAAUAAUUUUUAUUUUGGUCAUUUCUUCAUCUGGUAAAGUGAUAGGAACAUUGUUCGCAAAAAUUACAUAUCCCUCUUAUAGUUUGUAAACUAUAUAAGAGAUGUGUACAUUUUGUGAAGAAUGUUACAAAACACAGUGUCGGAUGAAGAAAUGACCCAAAUAAACGUUAUAGAUCUUGAUGAGUUAUACCAUUUUGUUAUUGAUGACCUUUUCAGUUGAAAUC
rnacentral:pre_miRNA from 1 species